rnacentral:rRNA from 1 species
CCUACGGGGUGCUGCAGUGAGGAAUAUUGGUCAAUGGCCGUAAGGCUGAACCAGCCAAGUAGCGUCAGGGAAGACUGCCCUAUGGGUUGUAAACCUCUUUUAUGCGGGGAUAAAGGUGUCCACGUGUGGAUGUUUGCAGGUACCGCAUGAAUAAGGACCGGCUAAUUCCGUGCCCGCAGCCGCGGUAAUACGGAAGGUCCGGGCGUUAUCCGGAUUUAUUGGGUUUAAAGGGAGCGUAGGCCGGUCUUUAAGCGUGCCGUGACAUUUUGUGGCUUAACCAUGAGAGUGGGGCGCGAACUGGAGACCGUGAGUGCGCGGAGGGCAGGCGGAAUUCGUGGUGUAGCGGUGAAAUGCUUAGAGAUCACGAAGAACCCCGAUGGCGAAGGCAGCCUGCCGCAGCGUUACUGACGCUGAAGCUCGAAAGCGCGGGUAUCGAACAGGAUUAGAUACCCUGGUAGUC